CAUUAUAGGUUAUUAAAGGAUAUUGGAUAUACUUCCCUGUGCUAUACAGCAGGUCGUCAUUGAUUAUUUUGUGUGUAUCUGUUUAGUGUAUAUUUGUUAAUCCCACACUCCUAACUUACCCUUCCCAGACUCCUCACUUCUUUAAAUUGCAAGCUCUUCAAAUAGAGCUUAGCAGACCUUGGGGAGUGGAGCAAAGUUCAGCUGAGGACAGUUCAGAAGGGUUGAGAUACUUCUGCCUAGCCCACUUCCCAAAGAUCUCAACUGAAUUCUGCCGGCAGCCAGGUCAGGUCCAGAAUCAGCAGUCCUGGGCAAUGUGCCCUGCAGGGCUCUGAGGUCUGAGACCAAGUCUCUGGUUUAACAGAGGAGAGCUGAGGGUUUUGACAGUGUUAGGUCAUCCCGGCCCAUCUACAUUUCUCUCGUUCAGUUUCUCCUCGCAAACCUGAAUUCAUUCUAGCACGUGGAACUAUUCUAGCAAGAAUCACCAUUUAGUUAAUAAAUGUGGGGCGUAGGAGUGAAUCCCCACGGGUCAGGACCCAGAAGCCCUGUCCACGUGGGAGCCACGCUUGGAGUUUCAGCUGGCAGUUCCCCGACCAGGGAUGGAAUCCGCGCCCCUGCAGUGGAAAUGCAGUGUCCUAACCACUGGGCCGCCAGGGAAGUCCCAGUGAUCACUUUAAUGGACUUUGAAGAACAAGUCUGUUGGCUGGAUGCUUCUGUGUUUAGACUCUUGGAUAAAAGAAGCCUUACUACGGAAUCGCUGUUGGGGACGUCUGAGUCCUAGGAAGCCAUUCAGCCCUGCUGACUGGUUCACGCCAGGAAGAGCUCUGUCUGCAGGGUCCUCACCCACACUGGGCCAGAGACAGCAGAGCCAGGCCCUGGGCCAUGGAGACCACCCCGCAGAGAAGAAGCUUCUAGAAGCUGUUAACCGAGUCAAGGACACCACCAGCUACAGGGGAGCUGUGCCCUGGGAUGCCAGCUUGCUGCCAAAUUUGGGGGUCCUCCCAAGGCUGAGAGUCACAUAGAAGUCAGGUUAACUCUCCAGAAUCAAAGGCCAUCAGAGCAGACAGCUAUAAACAACCUGCUUCUGGGAAGUCACAGUCCUGGUGGACUACGCAGAGCGUCAGAGAUGCACCAUGGGUUGUGGCGUGGUGAGGCCCUGACUCAAUCCCAGCCUAUUGCUUCCUUUGUUUGUGAAAUGUGCUGGAUCAUCUCCAUCUUACAGGUUAUCCUGAGCAGCCAGUGUGAUCGUGUAUAUGCAAGUACUUUGUAAAUAGCACUGCAUUUUUUGCCAUUUAUCCACCCCCAAGAAAUUGAGGCCGUCUAAAGGGCAAGGUCUCUGUUUCAUUCUUUUCUUUUU
ensembl:lncRNA